rnacentral:lncRNA from 1 species
CAAAGAAGCCAUUGCCACAUUUGAAAUGCACAAAGAGGUCACUCUCUUGUGGGACAUCAAGAGUUAAAAUCUAGUUCUCUCCAUGAAGGCUGGCCAGAGAGCCAAGCAGCAGGAGCCCAUUUUCCUUUCAGUAAGUGGCCUAGACUCUCCUUUCUCCUCUCUCAAUGGCUAUGUGCACCCAGUGGAAUCGCACAGACGUGGGGUGUGAGCCGCACAAUAACAGACCCAGGAGAUAAAAGGAGCCUUGUGAGGAUGCAGAAUGGGGGUGGCUGUGUGUUUUCUAAAUAGGAAAUGUGAGGCUUUCACAGUGACAACAGGCUGGGGCCGUGGGGCCCUUUGAUCCCCGUGGGGAGUGAACUGUUGAGUACAGCCGCCUGCGCCCCCACCCUCCAGUGGGCCUGGGGCUCUGAGAGCCUUGCUGUGUUCCAUGCAGAGGAUUAGACCACCUCAAUCAGCCCCUUAGAAGCGAAGAAAGCAGGCCAGCCUCAAAAAUUUGUAAAGCGGCAGAAUGGUCACAGCGAGUUUUGUGACCAUAUUGUUUUCAAGAGCAAACCCACAAAGCCUUGGUUAGCUUCAUUUUAGAAGGUGGGAAAGAAAGGCUUCUCUGCUGGGUGGUGAAGCAGAAUGGUCAUUUUGUAACACCAGAUAAGACUUCAAACUCAAUUUUCGCUGUGUUGUUAGAAUUUGUCCUAGUGAGUACAUCUCAUGGUUGCGGGGGUUAUUUAGGAACUCAGAUCAAGGUGCGUAUUUUUUAUUUCAUAACUUCAUGAUCUAACCAUGGUUGUUUUUUUGCAAAAUGGCAUCUAGAGGAG